UACGGAGGGGGCUAGCGUUGUUCGGAAUCACUGGGCGUAAAGCGCACGUAGGCGGGUCUUUAAGUCAGGGGUGAAAUCCCGGAGCUCAACUCCGGAACUGCCUUUGAUACUGGAGAUCUUGAGUCCGGGAGAGGUGAGUGGAACUCCGAGUGUAGAGGUGAAAUUCGUAGAUAUUCGGAAGAACACCAGUGGCGAAGGCGGCUCACUGGCCCGGUACUGACGCUGAGGUGCGAAAGCGUGGGGAGCAAACAGG
rnacentral:rRNA from 1 species